rnacentral:tRNA from 1 species
GCCCGGAUGGCGAAAUCGGUAGACGCAUGGGUCUUAAAAACCCUGGCCCUCUGGGCGUGCGGGUUCGAGUCCCGCUCCGGGCA